CCCACAAGCGGUACGUCUGUUGGCCACGGACGAUCCAGUGCCACCUAUGGGACAAGUUAAUAUGAACAGCUGCCUACUGGAUAAGGAAGCUGCAGACCGGAACGGAGAAAUCUCCGUCGGGACUGUGGUUGGAUUUCUAUACCCAUUUUGCAGCUGACCA
rnacentral:ncRNA from 1 species